rnacentral:rRNA from 1 species
UCCUUAGAUGUCCUGGGCCGCACGCGCGUUACACUGAUGCAUUCAACGAGCUUAUAACCUUGGCCGAGAGGCCUGGGCAAUCUUGUUAACGUGCAUCGUGAUAGGGAUAGAUUAUUGAAAUUAUUAAUCUUGAACGAGGAAUUCCUAGUAAACGCAGAUCAUCAAUCUGCAUUGAUUACGUCCCUGCCCUUUGUACACACCGCCCGUCGCACCUACCGAUUGGAUGGUCCGGUGAAGCCUCGGGAUUGUGGUUCUUGCCGCUUUAUUGUGGCGUGACCGCGAGAACUUGUCUAAACCUUAUCAUCUAGAGGAAGGUGAAGUCGUAACA